GAGGGAGGGAGAGACAGAGAGAGGAAGAAAGGAAGGAAGGAAGGAAGGAAGAAAAGAAAGAAAGAAAGAAAGAAAGAAAGAAAGAAAGAAAGAAAGAAAGAAAGAAAGAAAGAAAGAAAGAAAGAAAGAAAGAAAGAAAGAAAGAAAGAAAAAAAGCUCUUUUAAAGAGGCAAUUCUCAAGAAUUGGACAAAAGUUUAGUGACCUCAAGGUGAGAGGAGUCUGAGAAAAAAAGCUCUUUUAAAGAGGCAAUUCUCAAGAAUUGGACAAAAGUUUAGUGACCUCAAGGUGAGAGGAGUCAACAGAUGCUAGCACUGGGAGCCUGAAGGAUGCUCAAACUGUCUGGCACUAGUUCUUAAAAGCUGGUAAAGGAAGAGAUGUGUGUCUACAGUGAGCCUGAUGACGGCAAAUCUGAGAUAAAGGGAUCGUCUGACAGACCAGGAAGCUUGGCCACAGGGCCUGACACUAAAGGGAGAGUGGGUGCCACAGACAGUAGAGUGAUGCCCUCAUGGAAUGGAAGAGUUCAGAUGAGGCAGGCUUGGCUUUUGCAAAAGAGCCAGAUCUUAAACACCCUCAGAUUGUAAUUGUUGACUUCAUACACUCAUACAGAAUAUACACCUUAGUCAUUGCAAUGUGCGUACACACACACAUACAUACACACAGUCACAUAUACACAAGACAACAUGUAGAUAUACACAGAAACACACACAGAUUUCACCUAUUACUAAGUUAUAGCAUGCCUCGUUAGGGCCACCUGAGUAUCUUAUUUAAGGGAUUGUUCAGAUCAUAUUGGCCUGGGGACACAUUUGUGGGGUAUUUUUUUACUGUUAAUUGGUAUAGGAGGGCACAGCCCGCUGUGGGCAGAGCCAUUCACUGGGCAUGUGGUCCUGAACUGCAUAGAGAAGGAGUUAAGCAUGAGCCUGUGAAUCAGUCAGCAAGCAGCGUCCCCCACCGUUCCUGCUGUUCUUCAUGUGAGAAGAGUGAGUUCCCUGGUCAGAGGCAAUGCUGCACGGAAUAGCAAGCAGGCUCCCUUCAGGUUCCUGCCCUGAUUUCCCUCAAUGGCAGACUGUGAUCUAGAAGUGCAGUGUUUUAUCAUAGAAACAGAAUGAAACUGGAGCACAUUACUAAUGUAACUUACUUCUCUCCCUCCCCCACUCCUUCCUUCUCUUCUGACUUUGUUUGCUGUCUCGUUUAAGCUGGCUUUGAAAUUUCAGUCGUCUUGCCUCAGCCUCCCAAGUAACAGCAUUAUAGGCCUGACACUGCACUUAUCUUUUUUAUAUUUCAUGUAUGAACUAAAGUUUGCAUUUACAAAAAACACAGAAGUGUGUCCUGGCCUGCAUUGCUUCAGUGUCAAAUACUUUUAAACCAAAGAGAUUAUAAGUGGCCACACACGAGGAUGCAGUCAGACAAGCAUUUUCAUUCGUCUUUUGAACCAUCAUCUGCCAUGGCUUAUUAGUCUGAUUAAAUGCAGGAAUAUGCUAGAAAUGAGGGCUAGAGUAUUCCCCACUCUUUUUAAUUAUUAUACACGAAUAAUAAUUCGUAGUAAUUAACUCAUAAUAAUGGGUUUCACUGUGACAUGUCGUUCAUGUGUAUGAUGUAUUUUGAUCAUGUGCACCUCAUCACCCUCUGUUGUCCCCCUCUCAUCCCUGAUGAUCCCCUCCUACUCCUCUCUUGCCUGCACUCUACUUCCUUGUCUUUUCUUUCUCUUCUUUGAGCCACUGAGUUUUAUUAUGGUUGCUUACAGGAGCACAGACAUCCUACGAGUGGAUAAGCCACUGAAGAAGCAUCUCUCAGUUUCUCAGCAACCAUCAACAGCAAAAGCUCCACGUGGAGAGCCUGGUAUCGGGAGCCUGUCCCAAGGACUGGAGUCUUGAGCUGCAUGCUGAGGGUUGGAGAGGAAGCCCUGGCCCUGAGAUCUCCUGCACACCAGGUGUGUGAGACUCUACUGUGCUGGACACCUCCCACACAUAACUGUAAACCAGAAACAUCCUCACAGACAUGCAGAGAAGUUUGUCU
rnacentral:lncRNA from 1 species